UCUUAUUAGGUCUUUCCACUUUUCUGUGGAAAGACCUAUUGUUUUUCUUCUGAUUAUUUUUUUUUUUUUUUUUUUUUUCUUCCGCCAAAUUUUGUUCUUGCGAUAAACAUUUGUUUCGCAAUAUGUCGCUUAGAUAUUUGGUAUAUGAUAUCGAACAGUUUAUGCGCUUUUGAAAUUUACCCUGCGUAACCGAAUACUUUUCUUUGUAGGAGUUAUCUCCCAAACACUGUUUUC
rnacentral:lncRNA from 1 species